UGGUCACCAUGCUCCAUGUGGCGCCAACCAUGCAUAAGAAACAAUUCUCAUCACAACUCCAGAAUCAUAGAUGGAAUAAAAGUGGAAAUUAACUCACCUGUCGUUUUUUUUUUUUUGAAACACUUUUUUUUUUUGAAACACUUUUUUUUUUUUUGAAACACAACUCACCUGUCGUUUACCGAAAAAGAACUAUUGUGUUUUCAAGGGAGAAUGUGUGUUGUUUUGAUUAUCACUUCCAUAGUUUCCGGUUUUGCGAUUGAUGAAGUACUUUUUCGGUGGUUGGUUCUCAAAUGUUAUGGAAUUUAUGUGAUUAGUAGAACCAAGAAAAGUAAUGUGAUAGUCACCUGGUGAUAGUAGAACCAAGAAAGUACUCUAAAACACCCUACUUACUAAAAUUUUAUCCUCACUAUCCCCUUUCUUUUCUUACUAUCCCUCCUCUUUCUUCUUUGGUUUCUUACCCUUUAUUUAUUUAUUAUUGUUUCUCUUUCUCCUUCUUUUUUGAAUAUUUUUUGGGUCCCACCAGCUUCUUUUUAUUUUUGAUAUCGAUCAAAAAAGUUUUCAGUGUUAUGAAAGCCAGAGAACAGAGCGCCGCAUAAGUUGAAAUUAUAAAUGAUGUGGGGCCCGCUGCACUAUUUGCACAGUAGAUUUUUUUCUUUAUAUAUACGAUCAAGUUCGAUCGUUUCAAAUACACACUUCAAUCUUCCCUUCUCUCUCAGAUAAACACUUUCUUUCAGUGUUAUAAUUUCUACGGAUAUAAAAUUUUGCCCUUAUAUAAAUUCCUGCGAUACAAAUAAAUUCCAGUUCUUUUUAUAACACGUUAUCAGCACGAUCACUCUGCGAUUCGGUAAAAUUUAUUUGUAUCAUUUAUACCCUGUUAUAAUGGUCGGUAUACCGCCUCUACUAUUAUUUAUAU
rnacentral:lncRNA from 1 species